rnacentral:rRNA from 1 species
AAUGAACGCUGGCGGCAGGCCUAACACAUGCAAGUCGAACGAGGUAGCAAUACCUAGUGGCGGACGGGUGAGUAACGCGUGGGAACGUGCCCCUUGGUACGGAAUAGCCCUGGGAAACUGGGAGUAAUACCGUAUGUGGUCGAGAGACGAAAGAUUUAUCGCCAAGGGAUCGGCCCGCGUUGGAUUAGGUAGUUGGUGGGGUAAUGGCCUACCAAGCCGACGGUCCAUAGCUGGUUUGAGAGGAUGAUCAGCCACACUGGGACUGAGACACGGCCCAGACUCCUACGGGAGGCAGCAGUGGGGAAUCUUAGACAAUGGGGGAAACCCUGAUCUAGCCAUGCCGCGUGAUCGAUGAAGGCCUUAGGGUUGUAAAGAUCUUUCAGUGGGGAAGAUAAUGACGGUACCCACAGAAGAAGCUCCGGCUAACUCCGUGCCAGCCGCCGCCGUAA